rnacentral:rRNA from 1 species
AUACGGAGGGUGCAAGCGUUACUCGGAAUCACUGGGCGUAAAGGAUGCGUAGGCUGGAUGUCAAGUUGGAAGUGAAAUCCUAUGGCUUAACCAUAGAACUGCUUCCAAAACUGGCAACCUAGAGUGAGGGAGAGGCAGAUGGAAUUAGUGGUGUAGGGGUAAAAUCCGUAGAUAUCACUAGGAAUACCGAUUGCGAAGGCGAUCUGCUAGAACUCUACUGACGCUAAGGCAUGAAAGCGUGGGGAGCAAACAGGAUUAGAAACCCCUGUAGUCC